AUUGAACGCUGGCGGCAGGCCUAACACAUGCAAGUCGAGCGGAUGAAGGGAUCUUGCUCCUGGAUUCAGCGGCGGACGGGUGAGUAAUGCCUAGGAAUCUGCCUGGUAGUGGGGGAUAACGUCCGGAAACGGGCGCUAAUACCGCAUACGUCCUGAGGGAGAAAGUGGGGGAUCUUCGGACCUCACGCUAUCAGAUGAGCCUAGGUCGGAUUAGCUAGUUGGUGGGGUAAAGGCCUACCAAGGCGACGAUCCGUAACUGGCCUGAGAGGAUGAUCAGUCACACUGGAACUGAGACACGGUCCAGACUCCUACGGGAGGCAGCAGUGGGGAAUAUUGGACAAUGGGCGAAAGCCUGAUCCAGCCAUGCCGCGUGUGUGAAGAAGGUCUUCGGAUUGUAAAGCACUUUAAGUUGGGAGGAAGGGCAGUAAGUUAAUACCUUGCUGUUUUGACGUUACCAACAGAAUAAGCACCGGCUAACUUCGUG
rnacentral:rRNA from 1 species